AAGUGUUGUGUUCCUGCCGGUGAGUAAGGUUGCCAGAGCUCAACGAGGGAGAGGAGUUGUUAGGGUCGGCAACGCGCAUGUAACACCUCUGGAGUUGCAGGCGUACAUAGGCUACGGAGACUGCUUAACAUCAGGCGGACCGUAUGCUUGUUUGCCACCGACGUAGUAUAAAAAAAAACCUAUA